rnacentral:lncRNA from 1 species
GCCAAUUUUGGUAUCAAUUAAUCGGGGUCCUUCACCUCCGCUGAUCCAACGGUUCUUAAUCAUUCUUGAUCAAAAGAUAAAAGUGUCCGGAAAUGAAUCAAACCCUAAAGAUAUGUAUCUCCCUCCUCGUACCUUAUCGCUUCUCGUCGGCUCCGCCGCCCGCUGCUGAUGUCGGCGAUGCUCCGAUGGACUCCAAAAUUACAUCAUUGAAUCCCCGUCCCCUCCUCUUUCCAAAUUCCCAAAUCCCAUCCCUCAAAUCCUAGCCGCUCUUCUCAAAUCUUAGAUCGAAAUGCCGACUCAAAACCUUACUUGCUCCAAAAUCCACCAAAUUUUCACCACAUAACCUCCUCAUCUUUCUCUUCACAAAUCCGUGGCUAGUUUCUUUUAAAUUUUACCUGGCCGUCUCAAAUUUCAAUUCUAGGGCUGCUAAAGUCAAGUUUGUUUUGGGAGAUUUUUCGCAAGUUCGAAUGUUUUCUACAGUAAGUGUUCCUUAGUUUUUUAUUUCUAUUAGUGUAGUUUAGCUUUUCAUUUUUUUCUUUUCGCUUCAAUCUGGUUGGUUACUAGAAGCUUGGCUCAUAGUUUGGUCCUGAUUUUUUUUCUUGAGUUUUAGUUUAACACGGUGUUAAUCUUGUUAUAGUAGUUUAUUUUUGUUAUAACUUCAUAGUUCAUCAAUCCUUGUUAGCGUUUAAUUGUUAGUAUAUGUGACCAUAUUUUUGUUACUCCGAUAUUUGGCAAAGAUGUUGGUUUAAUUUCAUGCCUGAUCGAUUAUGUCUUAGUUUAAUUUUGUGUUGAUUCAUUCUGAUUAGUUGAUUUUCGGAUAAUAGUUUAAUUGGGUUCCACAUCUUUAGGAUACAUGAUACGAAUAACUGAUUGUUUCUGAUUGUUUGAUUCUAGAUUUAUGUUGACUAUAAUUAGUUGUCUAUCAACCAAGGGUAAGGGUUUGGUUUAGUUAACGGAGGUAGGGAGGAAAUAAGGGUAGUUUAGGCAUGGAAAAGGGUAGUUUUGUUAAGAAUAAUGAUUCCAAAACGAAAGCGAUGGUAGUAUAGGUAUUGUAUAGGUAGAAGAACACCCUAGGACCUUUUAGAAUUGAACUUUAGUGUACUUUCAACACAAUAGAGGUAGUUACUUGCAUAGCAAGUUAAUAAAUGAGUGAGUAAAGUAAAAAAAGAAGAGGGACUGAAAAGAAAACCAAAAAUUUGAUUGUUCACCCUUAUGGUGCCUUUAAAUUGGCAUUCUCAUGCCUUAGGGAGGGGUCUUCUUUUCAGCCAACAAAAAUUCCCCAAAUACUCUCUAGUUACAGAUUCAAAAGGAGAUCUGAAAUCUGAAAUUUCCUUUAGAAGUUUAAGCUUUUCUACAGAAAAGCCAAAAGAAAAACAACAAAACCUCUGAACCAAAAGAAAAACAUGGUUCCAUUGCUUUUUCUCUUAGAUUAUUUUCCAAUUCUAGCUUAGUUAAAUUCUUUAAUCCUUUUAAAAAACCAAAAAUAUCUCGCAAUAUGUUGUUUCUGUUCAAGAUUUGAACGAAUCAUUUGAGCAGUAGUAUUGGGUUAUUCGAGUGGGCUUUGGGAUGUUUGAGUUGGCUGUGGUUUACUGGAUAUUUUAUGAGUAUUUUGGUACUAUUUUUGGUUUAUUCUGUGAUCCUAUUUGGUUUUGAAACAAUCCUAAGACUUAGAGCUUGUUUCUGAAUUGUUGAUGUUUGGUUGUUGCAUCAGUUGACCUCUUCUCUUUUGUUAUUUCACUUUCUAGGUACACACUCGAAAUUCUGUUGUAACCCCAUGCUUGAAAUGGAAUAAAAUUACCCAGCUAUUUUGAUCCUGAGAUUUUCCUGCUAGUUGUUACAUAUUCAUAGUUAAAUAGAUAUUAUAUGUGUUGUUUAAUAUAGUUAAGUGUCAAUUGGUUGUGUAUAAACUGUGGACUGUAUGGACUGUCACUAUUACUCUUGAUUGAAUUUCAUUAGUAAGAGCAGACGUAAUUAUUUUUUAUCCAAACUACAAAGUGAUCUUAUUUCAGGAAUGCUUCAAUUAAAAGUGUUAGUUUCAUGAUAGGUUAAUGGCAUCGUCUUAUAAAGGAUUUGUUAAAUCGUUUCUGAUUUGUGUAAGUAAUAGGACAUAACGUUAACAGCAUACUCACAACUUAGGUUCAAUUGUCAUGCCAAUUUAAAGUAUAUGAGUUUUUCACCUUAGUUCCAGAUUUUCUUUUUACCUUAGUGAUAUCUAGUAACUUUUCAAAUAGAAAAUAAUAUGAGUAAAAUUUGAAAAUCAAGGUGAUCAUUGUUGAGUCAAUCUGAAUAGGCGUAUGUUGUUUCCCUGCAUUACAAACGUGUUGAAUGAUUUUUGAUAACUGUGGUGGAAUUCUAGGUCUGCACGGAACUGAGGCUUCACUUGAUUCAGCCAGCAGCCUGACUGCAGGCAGUUGGGCCUAAAUGCAUCAAUAAGCAGCCCAGGCCAUGCUGAUUUCUUCACAUGACCUAUGUCCAAGAAAUUUGAACGCAUGUAUUCAUGGAAUUCAAACAUACUUGACUCCAUACAAAGGAUCUCUUUUUCUUUAUUUUAGAGAAAAAUAAAAAAUCGUAGUCACUUUUAGGUUGGCCCUUUAAUAAAAUGAUGAGACGAGCUUCGCCAAAUAAAAAUACAAAAUACGGGGCCCUCAAUAAAUGGUUAUUAAAAUACUUAGAAUUCGUAGGGCCGUUUAGUGAACUUUAGGGCCUUCCCCAAAAUAAUAAUACACUAGACUCUUUAGGCGCAAUUCAAUUAAAUUAUACUCUUAAACUCGGGUGCGCAUUGAUGCGACGACCUAAAUUCAAAUCUCAACGGAGUCAAAAUGUGUUAAAACCACGUGUGCAUUGAUUGCGACGUGGUUCGAGACGCAUUUUUACGACGUUGCAAUUCUUUUAAAAUAAUGAUAAAAGCGCUUUACAAAUAAAAGGCAUAAGUUAGAAUGUAUUAAAAUCAGAUAAAAUCAAAUACAACAGUUGAGUGACCAUGCUAGAACCAGGGAACCUGGAAAUGCAUAACACCUUCUCCCGGGUUAACAAAAUUCCUUAUCCAGAUUUAUGUUCGCGGACUAUAAUACAGAGUCAUAUUUUGCCUCGGUUCGGGAUCAAAACGGUGACUUGGGACACCAUCAAUCUCCCAAGUGGCGACUCUAAAAUCUUAAUAAUAAAUCCCAUUCGAUUAUCCUUUAAGUGAAAAAACUCCUUUACACCCUUGCGGGUGUAAAGAAAAGGAGGUGUGACAACAGCGACCAAGUUCGAUCGUUCCCUACUGAUCGCCGACCUAGUUCAACGAUAGCUCAAAGCACUUGAACAACAAGCAGAAACACGGUAAAAGUCCAACAAGUAAACGAGCACCCUUUCUACAGAGACGGGGCACCAGAGAAACAAAAGAGCAAAGAAAAAGAAUAAAUUAGCAGAAAAGUUGUGUUUCAUUCUCUCCAAAAAUACAUAUACAUCUGACCCUGGAAAAAGGUCUUGGUUACAUCCAAACAAGAGGAGAGAGAAAAAUAUAUACAUAUCCUAAGAGCCUUCACCGCUUCGACCAUCACGCUCCGCUUGGCCGCUAUUUUGUCCGCCAUCGCCCCUAGGGUGGUAAGUCUUUGAGAUCCAGGAGCCGGACUCUAGAUGGUUGACGUCUUCAGAAUUGUGGCCUGCCCCAUCAGGGGAAUCAAAGCUAUAACCACAAGAGGCACGGGCGACACGAGCUAAGAGACGUUGCUCCUCAACCUCCGCCUCAGUGGCUCGACCUGCGGAUAAGUACUCCUCGAGUACGACCAAUAUAGCCUCAGAAUACACCCAUAUUUCAUGGUCUUCACGAUGCGCGUCAUAUUCGAGCUUUGACAAAGCGGCCCGCUCAAGGGACUCAACUUUAGCCUCCUUAGCGUCCAUCUCAACCGUCAAAUCAGCAACUCUGGUCUGCAACCGAGCCGCCUCCGCCGCUACCCCGCGACUGAUCUCCAACUCCUCUUCUUUUGACUGAAGGAGAGUCUCUAGCUCGAUGUUCCAAGCCAAAGCAACCAUCAGUUUCUCGUUACCUGCUCCAACUCAGCCACCUGCCGUAUCAACUGAGCCUCCGAUUGUUCAAGGCCCUUACGGAACAGCCGAAAUUGAGGGUCUUGCUUGAACACAUCUACCAACGCCUGAAGUGCGGCACGACAUUGUUUUUACUUUUUGCCAUUUUGUGGAAGGUGGUCGCCAUCUUCUGCUCACGCCACCUCCUGUCCACCUCCAAGACAAAAGUCUAAAAAGAAGAGGAAAGAAAGGAAAUACAAGUCAGUACAUACCAAAGUCGCCUUUAUGACCCAUAAAAAGAAAACUAAAAGCUACCUGCAAGGAUGCACCAGCAAUCCCUUAAGACAGGUCCCUGUUACUGACGCCCUUCAACGUCUCACGCUCUGCGUCCGCACAUAGCAGGGUCAUCUCCGCUGCGGCCUUAUAGCUGCUCUUCAAUAAAUUAUACCCUCUCGGGAUUAGGAUUCGGCGGGUAGAACUACCCGCCCUCAUCUCCACACGGGCUAGAUCCAUCGUUACAUCUCCAAGAGCGGCCUCAGGGCCCGUACUCUUAAUCUCAACGCCCGCUUCCCCAAUUACAGAGGAUGACCAACCCUCUGGGACACGGACUGAACUUGAAACAACAUCAGUUGUCCUUCAGGUAUCCAACCUCCCUGAAUGGAUGGCCUCGGCCAAAACAACAGGCCUUGGCUCUCGACGGGGCUCGCUAGUCCUCACGUCCUCAGUCGCAAUCUCCUUACAGGUGAUCAGUCGCGGGCUAUUUCUCUCCAGCGGCUCUUCACCUUCAAAGCCUCCUCCACAGGCUUCGGAGGCAGCUCUGAGGGAGCCACUUCAUCAGCGGGUGUGGCCUCAGGCACCAUCAUAGGCAUGGCCUCAGGUGUCGUCACUGGCACAACUUCAGACGCAAACUUAGAUGUCGUUAUUGGUGCAGCCCCUGCUAAGAACCCGCAGGAGUGUUGUUACUAGGCGAACCGCAUGAUAUGACUUCAUCAUUUGAGUCUACCUCCACGCUAGACGGGGAAUCUAUGGUCUUCUUCCUUAUGGAAACAACCUGACCUGCUAACACAAGUGAGUCAGGUAACAAAAAUUUAAGGGGCUUUCAAAACCGAAGCCAGAAUAACAAAAACUACCAGGUGGGCCGUACUAGUUACGGAACGCGUGCCAAGUGCGACACUCCUCCGCGUAAGGUAUCAACCUCUCCACCCACGAUCUAAUAUUUUUGAUGAACCGCGGUGGAGAAUCCGCCACUACAAAAAAAAAGAGAAAAAGAAAUCACAACGGCUGAAAAGUCAGAACCCCAAUUAAUCAAGAAACACACACAAGGAUACUUACAUUUUGAGUUCCACCUCUCUAGGAACCCUUCACUAGAAAGAUCUUUGUACCGCGGCUCUUCAAAUAAAGCAUGGUACCCCUCAAGUAUCUUGGGCCAAACAUUUGCAGAAGAUGAUGAACCGAGACCUCGCUCCUCUCCCUGGUCGCGUACGUAGUAAGGAUUCUACACACCUUCAACGUAUAGGUAGUGAGCAUGGCCAGACACACCCUGUAAAAGUGGCAGAUCUCCUCUACUAAAUAGUUAAACAGUAUGCUAUAUCCGAUCCUAAACAGAUACUCAUAAAAAGUACAAAAACCAGGCCUAUGCACAAUAACAUAGUCCAUAUCAAGCGGAACCAUUUCUACAUGGAUCGGAAUGUUGUACGUUGAUCGCAGGGUGUCUAAGUGGGAUUGUAGCAGUUCACUAUGCUCCCAAGGAAUAAAUGAGCUCUUCAUUUUAAAAUCACUUCAAACGUGCAUCUCUUUCGGGAGCACAUUAUCUACCGAAUGAGGAACAAGGUCCUUUUCCACCUCUUCCUCUUCAGAGUCGGAGGAAGGUGGAACCCUAGAUGGAGCAGUGUCCUUAGUAGUUUGUUGCUGCUCCGACAGCAUUUCGCCAUAUGAACUGGUUUUGAAAUACUGGUGACGGGAAAUACAACCACACAUAAACAAGGAAGAUGUCACACGAGAUAUCAGUUACAAGAAAGCAAGACAAAAAAGAGAAUAAGAAAAUACUCUCAAAGGUUCGAAAGAUGAAUAAGUAAGAACAUUUCCCCUAUUUAUAGGAUGAAGUUACGUGGAAAUCAAGUAGGUAUGAUCAAAACUGUUGGAAACACGUUCUCAAUGCAAUAUACUAAAACGUGUGUUCUUUUGUAUAGGUUUUGAUGAUUGACAAACGAAGCGAAAAUUGAU